AACUGUCUGCCAGAAAUGAAGGACUUCCUAAAAAACUUUCCCUUUAGGGAAUUCAGUGUCUUUAUCACCAUCGUCGGCAGUUUUACUUAUAAUGUUUUACUUGAAAGAGAUGUGGUCUGCACUUGCAUAGAUGUCGAUACAGACUGCUGGAUAUACCUUUUUAUGCCGGUGUUUAUAAUUUUUUUCUUAAUACUUUGGACAGACAAGAUAUUACAGAGAACCUGCAACUACUAUAUAUUUGUAUGUUCAGAAAAGCUAGCUUUUUUCCGAGCUCGGUGUCUACAAAAGCUAGCUUCUUUGCGAGCUAGGUGUCUAAAAAAGCUAGCUUUUUUGCGAGCUUGUUGUCUAAAAAAGCCUGAUAAACCUGAUGUGGAGCAUCAACCACUUGAUGAGCAGCAAGAUCAACAAAAGAAUUCAAACUGCAGGGGAGCAUUAUGUGGUGUUUUCUGGAGUCGCAUUAUCAAGGCACUUUGUAUUGGUGUGCUGUGGGCUAUUUCUGUGCUCAUCGAUGGAGACUGGUAUGUUUGCUGUCAGAAUGAUCAUUCUGAAAAGCAAUCACAGUUAGCCUGCAAAGAUAAAACCAACAUGACACCUGAAGAAAAUGUGGACAUCAAUACCCUGAAAAACAAAUCAAGACUUUUUGGCUUCUCUGUGCUCUUGGCUAUGAUUUUUCUGGCAGCCCUGAUGUCACUAUUUGACCGGAGAUGCUAUUACAGCAAAAGACAAGUCUAUGACAGCGUGAUCCUGGAAGAAGGGGAAGAUGUACUGAAAGACACUUUGAGAAAAGCAGCGAAAGAUGAGUUACUUAAAAUGAUCUCUGAAAAAAUAAAUGGAAAUGACAAUAGGAAUGGAGGUGAGAAUGGGAAUGGGGGACAAGAAGGAAAUCAAGGGGGUGGACAAGAAAAUGGGAAUGGAGUAGGAAACGUAGGUGGAAAUGAGAACGGAGGAGGAAAUAGAAAUGGAGGAGGAAAUGGAAACAGACAUAGGAAUGGAGGUGAGAAUGGGAAUGGGGGACAAGAAGGAAAUCAAGGGGGUGGACAAGAAAAUGGGAAUGGAGUAGGAAACGUAGGUGGAAAUGAGAACGGAGGAGGAAAUGGAAAUGGAGGAGGAAAAGGUAAAGAGGGUGGAAAUGAGCAUAAAUGGAUAGAAUGUUUUGAUGUUGCUGCACAAAUGAUUAAAAACUCAAGCAUACCAAAACUUUCCAAAGAACAACGAAAGGAAGAAAUAGUAGUACGGAUCCACAGUGAGCUCUGAAACAGCAGCAGAAGUGACUGACUGUCAACAUCUUUUACAGCACCGUGCUGAAAUUGCCUUGAACAGCAAUUUAAAGUAAUUUAAAAAUCAUAAAACUCCACAAACUAAUUCCACAUGAUUAUUAUUGUAUUUUAUAUUUAAGUCUUUUUCUUAUAAAUGACUGUCCAACAUUCAACUUAUAGUUACAUUAAAGUUGUUAAAUGUGUAAGAGAUUAUUUAGUGACUUUAUAUUUGUUUUCUUUUGUAUGGGAUGGAUUUGGACAAAUAUAAUAUAUAACAGGUUCUCUUGUUCCUGCAUGGUGCUGCCCUUAAUGUUUGCAGGUAACUGCCAUUUUGUGGCAUUGAUGUAAAAAGCCAGUUUGAGUCUCAGGCUACAUCCACAUGUACACGGGUAUUUUUGAAAACAGAGAUUUUCCGUUUUCUUUUUUUCUUUUUUUUAAUCCUGUCUAAAUGCUGCCAGGAACAUGCCAAAGCAACAGGUGGUGAUAUAUUCCUAACCAUGUAGAAAUGUAAUGUCGGUUGAUGCAUGCACUCUAUAUUCAUAUAUUUCUUUAACACACAUAUAUACAAUUGUAAAAGCAAAACCUUUUACUGUUAUACAAGAAAAUCAUUAGUACAUCAUUAAUGUCAAAGUUUUUUACAGUGAAUAUGGUCGUGUUCUUGUGAGAAGUCAUUGUUCUAGACCUUUUUUCUGAACAAACAUGUUGACUCGUGACCUCCAAUAAAAGAAAUAAAAGCUUGGGAGUCCCUGUAGCAGCUUCAGUAACUAAGUCCAAUAAAUUAUCUACAUUUGUGAUUUUUCUGCUUUGGAAUUUUAGGAUCUGUGCUGUGAAAAAAGCUUUAAUAUUUAAAUCUGAUCACUUUUUAAUACUUGCUGUUGGACUCUUUCACCUUAAUGAGCUAAUCACCAACAUCUGUAUGCUGCCUGCUCCAUUCAUGUCUCUGUAUUUUUUGUGACUAUUUUUUUUUGUUUGUGCCACUAUCUAGUCAUUUACAUGUCUUGCUUGAUUGAUGUCAUUUCUUUGUCAUUUAUUUCUCUUUGAUUUUUUUUCCCCUUAAAUUGCGAUUUUGUGUUUCUGUCUUCUCUUUUCUUUGUUGUUGAUGUGUUUGCCUUUCUGUUUUCUUCAUUUCUGUGUGGUCACUUUGUAGAUAGGGCACUGAAAAUUUAAAAAAAAAUCAAAUAAUAAGUAAGCGGGGAUGGGGAUCAGUGUGAAAUUCAUCUAGUCUUAAGGUCUCUUUUAAUUUAAAAAGAAUAUUAAACAAUUAAUAUGAAACCUUUUUUAUUAUCUCAAGAACUUUAGUUGACCUGCUUAUUUUAAAAUAAGUGUAUUCAGAUGCAUGAAAUCAGAUGAUUGUUUCUCAAAAUAAUAUUUAUCUGUGUUUAAAUAACAAUAAAUAACAGAUUGUCAGAUCAAUUGAAAUGACAGGGCAAAGAAAUUGUUGAGCUCUUCUUUUAGUAUGUGGCUGUUGUCAGUGGUUUGGGGUCCCUGGCCUUUGCAGCUGGUGAAUAAUCAUUUGGAUGUUAUUAAAAAGAGUACCUUAAACUGCAGCAUUCAGGCUUCUAUUUUUCUCUUGUUUUUCUCUUGCUUCACUCUGGCGUCUCCUGCUGGAUUAAGGCUCAAAGUGUAGGUGUAUUUUCCUCACCAACCAGGAAACUUUGCUUCUUUUUAUUUAUUUCAAGGGCGUAGAUUUGGUUUUGGCAUUGGUGGGGACGGAUGAUUCAACCACCAAACUCUGCCCUGUUUCUUUUUUUUUUCCGUUUUGUUUUUGCUUCUUAAUAAAAAGAGGAGAAAUAUACUUG
ensembl:lncRNA